rnacentral:misc_RNA from 1 species
UAUAACUGGAGAAAAUAUGGACAGAAACAUGUUAAAGGAAGUGAAUUCCCACGCAGCUAUUACAAAUGUACACAUCCUAACUGUGAAGUGAAGAAGUUAUUUGAGCGCUCUCAUGAUGGACAGAUAACAGAGAUUAUGUAUAAGGGUACACAUGAUCAUCCUAAGCCUCAACCCAGCCGCCGAUAUACUGCUGGUGCUGUUUUGUC